GCGUGUGGUUCAGCAGGUCAAAACGUUAGCUUGUCAAGCUAAACUAUCGUAGGUUCAAAUCCUAUCACGCC
rnacentral:tRNA from 1 species